GGCAGCUGUCUCAAUACCCUAAAUGCACCAUAUCCAAUCUGAUGUGGGAAGCUAAGCAGGACCAGCCCUGGUCAGGACUUGGAUGGGAGACUGCCAACGAAUCCCAGGUGCUGUGGCCU
rnacentral:rRNA from 1 species